GUCCUAUCAGCGAGGACUUCUUCAUCCUGUUCAAAUACAGGUUUUAAUCUUCCACUGUUUAGGAUGUGGAGGAACUCUAUGAAAACCUUUAACAGCUUGAUAAUGAUUGGUGUUGUUAACACACUGGAACCUGUUACAAUGGUGUGUUUCACGCAGAUAUGAGGGGGAGAAGAAGAACUUCUAGCAGUGUUAUCAACCAGGCUGGUUUAUUCAGGACAGGAACAGACAUGAAGGUUGAGAGCUUCCACCUCAAUAUCUUCAACCAGCCGUGUCAAGAUUAGUCGUUGAGUGCUGAUGUUUACUUUUAGGUUUGUCUCUGCUUCAACACCACUGAAUCAAAUGAGGUCAGUACCAGGAUUUUAGAGACCUUGACUGCACACCGAGGUGUUACUUCAGCCAUUUGAUUCAGGUGUGCUGGACCUGGGACACAUCUAAAAGUUGAGGGACACCGGCCCUGGAGGACUGAAGUUUGAUACCUCCACAUGAGAGGUUUCUGUCACAUGAUGGUCUCU